UUGAGUUGGGGUCUUUCACUGACAGCCCGGUUAAAUUCCAUGGCUGCCUUUAGGCCAUGCUCAGCUACUAAAGACUGUUGUGGGUUCCUCACUGGGACUGGGAAUUUGAACCAACAGCUGCUGCCACCACAGUGCCACUGGGACGAGCCAACUAUGUCUGCAGUCAGCUUUAUUCUAGGUUUAAUUUUGCAGUGAAUGUAAUUAUUGGAGAAAGAGAAAAACUGGUGAAAGCAUAGACUCUGCAGGAAGCCUGGUGGAUGUUCAGGCUUGAGCAUAACUAAGAUAACUUGGAUAAUUAAGGACAUUCUACAUAGAGAACAGGGAUGAAUGGGACCUCCAGAUAACAUGGAGACUGUGAUAUUAUUCUACCUUGGUCAGCUUUCAGCCUCAGGACUUUGGGCAGUCUUGAAUAGUGUUUAUACUAGGAUUGUCUCCCCUGUCAAGUGGAGGCUGACACAAACCCUUUGGGACAGUCAGUCACCCCAGUAUGGUAGGAGACAGCCCAGUCUCAACUGUGGCUUCUCUUUCAAAUUAUGUGCUCCCCAAUCAGCUCUGUAUCUGAACUUACCCUAGAGGAGCAAGCAGGAGGGGAGCCACUGGCCAGUCUGUAGGAGGCAUUAAUGAUCUGGGUACCAGACUCCUCAGUAUUUACCCACCUAUGUUUUGCAAGGGGCUUGGACUUUCUGAAGGACAAGUAGGAAAAGGGAGACCGGGUCUUGAUUGAGCCUCCAAGUGGGUGUCUUUGGGUGUGAUCCACCCCUUUGAGCCUCACUUUCCUGUGUAGUUGAAGUGAUCCAUGCUCCCUUCCUGCCCUGGAAAACCCAGGAGCCGUGGGAGUGAUCAGGCUGGAGUCAGGGUAAGGAUGUAUGAGGGGCAAUGUGCUCCUGUCUGCCUCUGGUGCUCAGGCCUAGCCUCCUGGGUCACUGUCUUCUUUCUGCUUUUAGCAUAUUGCUGAGGCUGAGACAUAGCUUUCCAGCUGCCAUGGCCACAGGCAGGGAUGAAGGGCAGAAAUGCUGGUACACUGUGGAACUCUGGCAUUACAUAAUGCCAUCAGGCAAGAGACAAAGCCUGCUGAAGAGCAGGGAAGAGCAGCGGGGAGGCCCACUGAGUGCUGGGGAUGGGGGGGUGAGGAAGGAGAGAUGGGAAGAACUGUCGAACUUCCAAGGGACCUUUGAGUCUUACAAAAAUGUGCAUAGGGCUCUUCCUGAAAUAACGAAAGAGUGCAGUUGCUCAACCAGCAUGCCUCCGUUUGGGGCUUGAGAGCCAUCUUAUAGUAAAGACAAACUAGGUUCACUCCUGUUUUUGAUUAAAUCUCUUGUUUCUCAAGGAUUGGGCUAUGCCCCACCUGUAACCUUAACUACAAAUGGCUCUGUACUGCCUUUUUCAGAUAACGGCAACAAUGAUUUUGUUUCAAAAGGUUACUGUGACCAUCUUGCUAUGUCCACCUUGUUGCGAUGGCCUUGCAACCAUGUCUACGUUUCAGGUGUUGGUUAUGAUCAACCUGUUAAGCGUAUGCUCAGCUUCUGUAGCCCCAGAUAAUCCCUGGAGAUAAAGGGUCAACAAGUCAUGACUCAUGCAUCUGACAUCCCUAAAUCUUCCUGGCUGGAGUCUUUGCUUAGCUUGCCUUCCACACUCUCUCACUGCUGUGGCUGAGCUGAAAAGUUGGAAUGGAGACCUCUGGCCUAAAACACUUCCAGUCUGUCUCUACAGAAAGGAGUUUCCCCAUCAGUGAUGUAAAAGACAGCACUCUUAGGUUUCCCAAGAAAGCUGCUCUUGUGGAUGUUUUCAAAGAACAGAUCCUGGUACCAUCUGAGAUAGUUCGGUGGGUAAAAAGCACUGGCCACCAUGGUGGGGAAUCUGAAUUCCAUCCCUGUGAUCCACAUUGUAGAAGAAGAGAACCAGUUCCUGUUAGCUGCCCUCUGAGUCCCACAUGUGCACAUGCAUGCACACAUAACGCACGUGUGCAUGGACACACAAUAAGUAAACAAAUAUAUACUAGCUCUAGGUAUGCAUACAUGGAAGGGAAUUUCUCCCAGUCCUUUACCCCUUUCUUAUUAUUUGAGACAAAGAACUGUGGUUAUCUGCCAACACAGGAAUCCAAGUGGAGACCAUUUCCCAGCAUCCCUUGCAGUUGUAUGUGGUCAUGUCCAGGCAAGGGGCUUUCUGCUUUUAUCAAGUACUGUUUUAGGUCCCAACUAGUCACCGAAUAAACACAACUUCUCUCUGUA